CCUCCCCGUCGCUGGAGAUGGUCCCGUCCAGAACCCCUAUGCGAAGGAUUUGAUGGUCUGGCCCAGCUCUUCCCCACCCUCCUCUCGUCGGGUCACUCACACUCUCCCCUCGUCUCCGCUCGGCGCCGCCGCCAUUUUCUUCGCAGCGAAAAACCCGCGGGGGGGGAGGGGGGAAAACCGAGACGGAGAGGAAACCCGGAGAGUCAAACCCCGCCCCGUCGCUACAAUUGGCUGCUAGGAACCAUCACUCAGGACCCCUCCGCGGAACUAUUGGCCCUUAGUCUUCUACAUGGGCGAGGCUGCCGUGUUCCCGGCGGCCGUUAGAAUUGGCGGGAAGUGCUGUCAGUUACAACGAUAAAAAGUGGGUGGGGAACUGAUGCCCGCGCUGUGAAGGACCUGGAAGCCGAUGCAUUCUGGGGGAUGUAGUUGUUUCGGCUGGUCCCGGAGGGAAGGCUUUUUUGUGUGUGUGGAAGCUUGUGUGCGCUUAGCAGGGCAGUUUUUCUUCCAUCUGAGUUGGAUUACCAUCUCCUUUUUUGUGGAAGGGCAGUACUUUGAAGACAGUGGAGAUAGAAGUGUUGUUUGUUGUGUGAGAUGAUGGAGGAAGGAAUGGAAACUGAGGGGGUAGGCUCGGGGAAGGGGAAGGGAUGCCGUUUGGUUGGGGAAAUGGAGGGUGGUCUUCCCACUGAAGAUGUCCAUGCUAAAAAGAAACUAGCAAUGCUGUGGAUUACCAGGCUGAAGUUUCAGGAAGGUGGGAAGGCAGUGAGUAAUCUUUUUUAGCUGUGAUAAAAACUGUCAGUAAGGAAGUGAAAAUUGAAGAUACUAGCCCUAUUAAAUUAGCUGAAUGGUUGUGGAAAGCUUUAGGGGAUAUUGUUUGGGCUAAACACCUUCAGUUUGGUGAUUUUUUUGGUGGAGGGUGAACAAUUGGAAUAACUCCUCCGUUUAACCUCCUUGGGUAAGAUUAAGAUAUUUAGCCAGGUUCCCUGCUUUCAGGCUUUGAGAAAGGGAGUUAUAUUGGGUGUCUCUCAGCAUUUCUGAAGAUAAAAUUCAAAAGCAUUUAGGGGAGAAUAUUGUCUCCAGUGUAAAGCCUCUUUCCUCCAAGAGGGAGGGGAAAGUUUCUCUGCCCCUUACGGUUUUUGCUCUGUUUGGGGGUCAAGAAUUACCCAAACAAGUGGUUAUAGAGUAUCAAGUCUUUAGGGUUCACCGGUUUAUUCCUCUUCCUUUACGGUGUUAUAAUUGUCAGUGUUUGGGGCAUGUGGCUGCAGUAUGCCGUGGCCAAACUCUCUGUGGGAAGUGUGGAGGUGCGCAUUCCAUGAAGCAAUGUGAGAGUUCCCAACCUGCGAAAUGUUGUAAUUGUGGAGGAGAUCGUACUCCAGGAUAUCGUGGCUGUUCUGUGACUAAGCAAGCCUGGGAUGUCCAAACACUUAGAAUUGAGCAAGGCAUCUCUUAUUCUGCAGUAGUAAAGAGAGAUUACAAGGAAGCUGGUGGGGUAGGGGAGGAUGUUGGAAGUUGACUUUCCUCUCCUCACCACUACCCCCCCCCUUCUUCUUCCAAUGCUUUAGCUGAAGGGGAGGCUUGUCGUUUCCCUGCAAAAGAAAAGUUUUUAGCUUUCAUGGUGGAAGUUAUUAAAUGUAUUAAUUUAAACCGAGACAGAGAGGAAACCUGAAGAGUCAAACCCUGCCUCGUCGCUACAGUUGGCUGCUGGGAACCAUCAUUCAGGACCCCUCUGCAGAACUAUUGAAAUGUGACCAAACCCAAGCUAUGGCAAGAUUUAUUUUUACUUGGAUGUCUCUGGUUACAAGAAGCCAGUUUACAGCACCCCCUCCAGAAAUGUCUCCCAAUAAACAGAUGCUGCUGCAGGAUCCCCACUGGGACAAACGUCCAAACAACUAAAUACUGAUUUGGACACUUCUAGAAGCUGCUGUGUCUUGGAUUUCUAGAGCAUCUCUAUUGCUGCAAAAAAAAAAAAGAUGCCGUUUUGGAAAACAUUAUCUUUUGGAUGUAUCAGUGGAUACAGGACAUAUUGUGUAUCACAGGAUGAGAUAAUCUGGAUAAAUUCUACUCAGUUUGGCAAUCAUGUUUAUAUGUUAUUGACUUUAAUUCUGAUUUCUGGCUGGUUUUCACUCAUGAACAUUAAUUUUUAUGUGUGUUGGAUUUCCCCCUUCUCCACACACAUUUAUAUCCCCCCCACACACAGUUUAGUUGGGGGCAAUUGAAUAUAGGAAAGGAUAUUGUCUUUCUCAGAAGUUUCAUAUGUUGUUUGAUGUUAAUUGGCUCACAAUUAUU